rnacentral:rRNA from 1 species
AAUGGCUGCAGUAAUAUAACUGUACAAAGGUAGCAUAAUCAUUAGUUUUUUAAUUAAAAGCUUGUAUGAAAGGUUGGACGAAGUAAAAUCUGUCUCUUUUUAAUAUAAUUAGAAUUUAAUUUUUAAGUAAAAAAGCUUAAAUUUAUAUAAAAGACGAGAAGACCCUAUAGAGUUUAAUAAUUUAUUUUAAAUAAUUAAUUUAGUUUUAUUUAUUUUAUUUAUUAUAAAAUUAUUUUAUUGGGGUAAUAAAAAGAUUAAUAUAAUUCUUUUUUUUUAUUUACAUUAAUAUAUGAAUUAAAUGAUCCAUUUUUUAUGAUUAAAAGAUUAAAUUACCUUAGGGAUAACAGCGUAAUUUUUUUAAAGAGUUCAUAUCGAUAAAAAAGUUUGCGACCUCGAUGUUGGAUUAAAGAUUAAUUUAGGUGUAGAAGUUUAAAUUUUUGGUCUGUUCGACCAUUAAAUCUUUACAUGAUCUGAGUUCAAACCGGUGUAAGCCAGGUUGGUUUCUAUCUUUAUAAAAUUUUUAUAUUUUAGUACGAAAGGACCAAAUAUUUAAUAUAUAAAUAUUUAAUUAUUUUGAAUAU